UACAGAGGUCCCAAGCGUUGUUCGGAUUCAUUGGGCGUAAAGGGUGCGUAGGCGGCGGGGUAAGUCAGGUGUGAAAUCCCGGAGCUUAACUCCGGAACUGCACUUGAUACUGCCUUGCUCGAGUACUGGAGAGGAGACUGGAAUUUACGGUGUAGCGGUGAAAUGCGUAGAUAUCGUAAGGAAGACCAGUGGCGAAGGCGGGUCUCUGGACAGUUCCUGACGCUGAGGCACGAAGGUCAGGGGAGCAAACGGG
rnacentral:rRNA from 1 species